AUCUGCAGUCCUGACCUGGAAUUUGAACCCUUUAGUGCCUCUCCCUCCUCCCAGAUGGAGAGGAGGCGGAGGAUCUCGAAAUCUUCUGAUUGCCAUCGAUCUGAUUUUGCUGAGCACUGGCCUCGUAUCACAUCUGUGUGUUCCUUGAGAGAUGAUUUCAAUCUGAAAAAACCCCCUGAUCAUGAAGAAAACCCUGAGAGAGUAGUGAUGGAUCCAGCAGCAGCCCUGGGGAGGCCCCACACUGCUGGAGCCACCAGCUUCAUGGAACAUUUUCCUGGAGUCCAAUAGUGAUUUUCUAGACUUAAAAACUGAUCACAUUUCCUUUCCUCCCUCCUUCCCUCCCAAAGGCAUUUUUUGUCAUCUGUGUCCAAAACUUCCAGCAGAAACUCCAUGAUUGGAGCAAUUUGGUCCAAUGCCAUGAGAAGUGACUGCUCCACACACUUUAGGAAGAGCAAAAAGGAGAAAGAAAAGAAGGUGAAGCCCUCUGUGCUGUGCCUGAUCACUCAUCAAAGCCAGCUGCCUCCUGUGCUGGCUUGAGGACAUGACAGAUGUCUGCAGCCUUUACAGGUGCAGGGCCUGCAUUUCAUCAGUCUUUUUCCCAUGGGUGACCUGCAGUGUGGUUUAUUAGCAGCUCAGAUUUCUUUGGCCAAGGUGUUGUGUUGUGUACACAUCCGGGUUAAAGCUAAGCAAUAUUUCUGAUCCAUGUAGGAUUCUGACUCGGUCCUGCAUCUCUGGUGUUUACAAAAUGGUCAGAGCUUGAACUCUCCCUGUUCUGUUUCUUAAAUGUCAGCAGAAACUUUUUCUUUUUUUUAAAAAAUAAAACAAUGCAGCCUUCCCCUGCAAUGUUUGUAACCAAGAAACUGUGGCAUCACAAGAGCAUGAGGAAAUACUGGCUGAUUAAAACCAGGGUAAGAAAUGACAGCGAAAGUGUUUGUCUUUUUUUUUUUUCCUCAUUUCAGAAUUCACAAUGAAGUUGCUGCUAAAAAGGGACCAGCUGGUUCAGCCCCACUUGGGCUGAAUAUGAUGUUUAAUGUGCUGAAACUAUGAAACUACUUCUACUGGCAAACUUUAGUGUGAUAAUUUAAUUUCUCAUGUAAAGCAUAUCUCACAGCAUGACUUUUUCCCCUACCUCUCUCUGUUUUGACAAAGUAAGUUUGGGCUAUUGUUGGUUUGCUUUGUUUUUUGUCUUCUUCCUGCUUCUCAUUAAUAUACAAGUGGUAUUAAAUAGUAAUGAUGCCAGUAUUGACCUCU